CUAAAUAUUUUUGUGAGAUGUAGAUGAUACAAAAAGGCAAAAGUUACUUCAAAGGCUAUUGGAGCCUGUGCUUCUUCCUGGCCCACCAGCCUGUCUCCGGUCCCUGCUGGGACUCUUCAUGACUGUACCAUUCUAGCUCCUGUUCCUCUUCUAACUUCUGCUUCCUAGUAAGAACUCAAAUCUCACUUUAUUUUGGCUAGUCUGUGUAGGCUUCUAUGUGGAAUAACUAAAUCCUCAGAGACAUUAGUGUAGCUACUCGAGAAGUAAUGUUUCCAUUGUCCGCUCUGCUAAUACCGUUCCUCUUGUGCACCAUUAGCUUUCUUUCUCAGUGCUAGGACAGGACCCAGGGCUUCACACAUGGUCGGCCUGGGCUUUACCAGUCACUUACACCCAGGGCUUCACACAUGGUCGGCCUGGGCUUUGCCAGUCACUUACAUCUCUAGCUUCCUUUUUAUUGACUUUAUUUCAAUCCCAGAAUCAGCCGACAAUCCAGACCAAAUGGUCCAGAAUAUUCCCGUGCACCAUUAGCUUCAGCCACACAUUAUUCAUACCAUUUCUGGAAAAAGAUAAUGCAUUUCUUCAUCACCCUUGUCAUAGACAAGGGAAGUUUUCAUGUCAGUUUAUGUUCCACGUUUUGUAGGACCUCAGAAGUGAUCUAUUUCCCAUCAAGGCAGAGACACCUUGUUUGUUUGUUUGUUUAUGUGUGAUGCCAGAGAUCAACCCCAUAUUCUCAUGAUCCUGCCACUGUUCUAUAACCCAGCAGGAAGCCUUUUAUAACAUCCCGGAAGGAGUGACUAUCAAGUGGUGGUUGGUGAUGGACUAUCUGAAGGUAUCCCAUUCCGUUAUGGAAGGACUCAAGUCUUUUGGAUUCAGGAAGCUGAGCUGUAAAGAAGACCCUCAGACCAGACCAGCUGCCUGGAAGAUGCUUACACCAACUGAGGCACCUGGAAAGGACACUCUCCAGCCUGUUGAACUGCCUUCAGGGGUGCAGUGUGCCCCAGGUUCCCAUCUUUGUGAACUGCCACCCAUGCCGGGGUGGGCUUUGGUGAUGCACUUCUCUUUGAGUCAUUUCUGCCCCUGUAAAGUAACCCCUCACCCAUGUUCCUUUAAGUAUCCCUAAUAAAACUGAUUGGUUAACCAA